GGGGGGGAAGGGGGAGAGAGAGAGGAGAGAGAGAGAGAGUGCGAGUCUGAGUCGCGGCCGCUGCAGCGCUCUUCCCCCCCUCCUGUCUGUCUGUCUGUCUGUCUCUGUCUGUGCACAGGCUCCAGCGGGCGGGCUUAGCAGUCCAUUGGUUCUUCAUUCAAGACCUUAAGCAGAUAAAUAAGAUUCCUGAUUGCUGACAAGAAUUUGAAUGAUGGCAGCUGAUUCUAAGGGGAAGAAAAGGGGUACUAGACAGCCAAAAUGUGCUUUUUGUAAACUAAAUAAAGAGGAAUAUUGUGGACAGUUGUUAACAGCACAAAACCAGAAGAUGGCAGCACAUCACAAAUGUAUGUUAUUUUCGUCUGCUCUUGUGACCUCUCAUUCCGAGAAUGAGACUCUUGGAGGCUUCUCGGUCGAAGAUAUCAAGAAGGAAAUAAAAAGGGGAAAUAAGCUGAGCUGUUCUCACUGUCAUCGCCCCGGAGCAACUAUUGGAUGUGAUGUAAAAACGUGUCGUAGGACUUACCAUUAUUAUUGUGCAAAACUGGAUAAAUCUCAGAUAAAAGAAGACCCAGCACAGGGCAUAUACCUGGUUCUCUGCCAGAAACACAAAGAAGGAGCACAGGAUUCCAGUGAAGAUGGGUUACAGGAAGACUUGAACGAACAUUCCACGGGUCCUCGAAGAGGUGCUGGCAGAGGGCACAGAGGAAGACGAAGAACUCCCAACUCUAGGGAUGAAUCGGACGAUGCUACAUCUACAUCCUCUCAAGGAAGGGAUGAAACGAGUUGCAGCUCCUAUAGGGAGCGGUCUCCUCAUCGUAAUAGUCCCACCAAUACAGGGCCCAAGUGUGGGUUUUGUCACGCUGGAGAAGAAGAGAAUGCCACCAGAGGAAAGCUGCACACAUCAAAUCCAAAAAAAGUUGCAGCACAUUAUAAAUGCAUGCUGUUCUCUUCCGGUACCGUCCAGCUCACAGCUUCAUCGAGAGAAGAUUUUGGUGACUUUGAUAUUAAAACAGUCAUUCAAGAAAUAAAGAGAGGCAAACGAAUGAAAUGUACUUUGUGCAGUCAAAUAGGUGCAACCAUAGGUUGUGAGAUCAAGGCCUGUAUCAAGACUUACCACUACCACUGUGCGGUGGAAGAUAGAGCGAAAUUCAUUGAGAAUCUUGAUCGAGGAAUUUACAGAUUAUACUGUAAAAACCACAGUGGGAAUGAUGACAGAGAUGAGGAGGACGAAGAAAGAGAAAGUAUUUCACGUUGUGGGAGAGAAAGAGAUGCUGAUCGCGCUGGCACAACUGGCCGAGAGGUCUUAGAAGAGGUAUAGAAAAUGCAUUCAAAUUCCUUCUGAUUUAAUGGAUACCUGAAACCCUAGAGAAAUAUUGAGGCUUGGAUAAAGAAGAAAAGAAAUGCCAAGAAAAUGCCUAAGGACUUGAAGAGGCUGGUAUAUUGUGCUCAAACUGCUAACUUUGGGGUUAUAAAAACCCUGGAAAAUAUCCAAAGAUCAUUGAAAUAAUCUUUAUGUUCUAUAAACAUUCAAACCCACGAAGGAAGGAAUACCCACUUUAAAUAGCAAUGCAAAUAUACCUGUUUUUUCUGAUUGAAGGUCUCGAUAAUGAGCAUUUGAUAACACUUUUGACUGAGAAGGCUGUAAUAAAAGGGAAGAAUUAGUAGUUUAAGUCACAAUUAGAUGAUGCAUGUUGACCUGCCUGCGCUCCUUUGUAUAAUAGGAGAGGACAAAAAAUACUUUCUGCACAUUGCAGUGUCUGCAUUUUCAAUGCGUUCUCUGAGACUGUUGAUGAGGUCAGCAUCAAAUGAUGAAUGUUCAAAUUGAAAUUCAGUCUCUUAAAAUUAAAAUCUUAUACAUAGUGACUAGACUCUGAUCUGUUAACCACUGGCAUCUGGAUUGAAAUAAAGCCUGAAAAGACUUGGUGAAGACUUUUAUUUUGCCGAUUGUUACAGGACCCAGGUGAAAUGGGAGUUGUGCAGUCUUCACCCAGUUUUCUGUGGUUUGAGUUCAAGGUAUGAAACUGCACAAGGCAAUAAUUGAGGAAAUCUCAUUCAGUGAAACCAUAACGUUAGCUAGUACAAGAAGUGGAAAGUCCACCAAGGUAUAUGAGUGAGGUACAUGAGUUGGCUGAGUAGCUGAGAGAUUUUGUCUGGGUUAAACCCAAACUAUACAUGAUUGGGAGUAUUUGAUGCAAACACUGGGUGCAGAAAAGUAAUGUUGGGUUGGAAGUAUUGUCUCUCACUUUUGGAGCACAAAACUCGCCCAAUUUUUAUUUGAGCCACAACACAAAUAGACUAGGAAGCUAUCUGUUUUUCUCACGUGCACGUUACUGUGAAGACUAUAAUCUGUGAGUGACUGUCCUUGCUCAUUUAAUUUCCCCACCCCACGCAAAAGAAGUCUACAUAGGUCAUAUGAUUCUGUCCCAGUCUGUUGCCAAGGGUACUUUGUGCUUUCAUUUCAGAAAAAGAACAAUAAUAAGAAAAGAAAAUUGUGAACUGGUUUUGAUGCUAAAUUCUAUGUAUUCAAUGUUUAAUGGAAGUUUGGGGAUAGUUUUUUGACUUCUGCUAGAUCUAUGUCAGUAUUUGUAAGAUGUAUUAUUUCCAUUUUUUUCCUUCAAGUGAUAGUGAUUUUUUUAUUUUAAAUUCAGCCUUUCACUGAUCAUGCGAAUGAGGGCCUAAGAAUAAAAUGUUUAGGAUUAGUGUAUUUCUAAUUAGAAUGAAAUGUUGUUCAUAGUCUGGUUUCUUAUUCAUGCCUCGCCAACUUUGAUGUUAGAAGUAGCUGCCUUAAGGAAAACAUGAAGAAUUUAAGGCCAGAAAGUAAUGUCACCUGUGGAUCUACAUUACUCCAGGUUUUUUCUUUGUUUUCUAUGUUUGAAUGACCAGCAUUUAUCAUGUGUUAUGCAAGGUAUUCACUUUUUUAAAAAAAUCUAUUCAGUUGUAUUGUUUAUGAUGCUUAAGUAUAUAUAAUCUCGCAUCACACAUUUUCAUAAUGCCCUGUAGCUUGCUUAAUCAAGUCAUGCUUUUACAGGUUUUCUGAUUCUGUAUUUCGGAUCAUAAACUUGUCUGAAUUUGCUGUACAUCCUAUCAAAUGCUUUAAGUUUACUCAGCUUGCUUGUAUUAGGCAACACUUUGAAAAGGCAAUAUCCACCUACUUUCUGACUUGUUCUGUGGUUUUUUUUGCUAGAACAGUUGUACACUGUUGAAAAAACAAUUGUAUUUCCAUUUUCUGUUAACUAUUCAGUCAAAAAUGCCACUGUAUUCAAAAUAAAUCCAAUGUUGUAAUUUUAAAAUGCAUAAAUACUGCAUAAUGCAGUGAGUCUUCUGCAUACAGUGUUUAAAAAUGCAUCUGAUUAUAACAGAUUGUAUAACAGAUAUUGCCUUUCUAAUUUUUGGUGAACAAUCUAUAAAAGAAAAUUGCUGAAGAUGCAAGUUUUACGGGAGGGGGAGGUGAAACAAGGAUGCUCAUGGCUACCUUUUGAAGCUCUGUCAUAAUUGAUCAGAUGAAGUAUUUUUAAAUCAUUAAUUCACUGAAAACCUUUUAAAAAUUGGAUUGAUGUUUUCUUUGCUGGCCUUAUUUAUGCCACGAAUGAAGAUAUGGUACAACUCUGUUGAACGAUUGAGUGAUUGGCUUGUAUUUUGGACAUUUGCAGUGACAACACUGGGCUGCCUCCAGGCAUAUGUAAAAGCUUAUUGUAGGUGGCAGCACUUAUGGUGUAAAGUAGGGACUUUGCAUAUUGUUGGUAACUCUCAGUUUUGCCCUGCAGGCUCUGGGGUGCAGUCUAAACUUGCCAUCACCCGUCUGCCCCACUGUAGUGAACAAGGCUUGAUGCUGUACAUUGUUGCUGUUCCUUUUGGAUUUUGCCACCCAAUGGUGUGACUCAUACUGUGAUCUGAACCUUUGAUCACACUUGCUUAUUCACUAUUCUCUAACAAUGCAGACAUGCAGCCUUAGAAUUUGUAAUUCUCUUUUAAUAUCUUUUUCCUGACAUGCAGAAAUGGUAAGCAAUCAUGUCACCAACUUUCAGAGUGAGGCUUUUCCCCACUUUGUUUAAAAAAUGAUUUAUUUUAUGUAAUAUUUAUGGAGUGCUUCUGUGAAACUUGAGUUGGAAUUCCAAAUUAAAUCCAUGAGAAAUGUAUUCAAAUAUACAGUCUUUUUGAGGGAAGGGAUGGGAGAGAAUGACUUAACCUCAAUCAACCUUUUUAUUCUUUCAAGACUAUAACCCAGACAUCUACUGUAUGGAAAGGCUUUACUGAUUGAGCCAUUGCGGAACCUGCAUGGCAAUGGCUGAUUUAUGUUUCUGUAGCAAUACUUUGCAUGGCUACAUGGUGUGUUACUAAUGUUAACGGUAUCAACUGAAAUGUUUGACGAAUGGAAGGGAACUGCUGAAAAGAACAGAAGGGCAUAAGUAUUAAAUAGCAAACGUGUGACAAGUAUCCAGUUGGCAUCACUAGGAUGUUGGAAACUGUGACAUGGAGACUUGAAGGAAAUGUGAAUUUCCUGUUAGCAUAACUACUUUUUGAAUUUGUAAGGCAUCCUUCCUUCCCCAUAAGCAGUUAAUUUAACCUGUAAACAAGUGUGGCUGUUGUGGCCCAAAUUUCCACUUCAUGACAUGGUUUUCAGCCUUGUAGCACCAUCUAUUAUGCUGCUUUAUUUGUGUCAUGCCCCAUCGCCUUGGACAGCAAGCCUAGUAAGGUAGUGGAUAUGGCAUCAUUUUUCUACCUACACAAAGUAGCAGUCUUGACAUCCUGACACUGUAUGACUUGCUUUGAUUUUUAUUCAUAAAAUUAUACUCCCCAGAUCUUAGAUCUAUCCAGGAUACAUUAGAAAAAUGUAACUGUUCUCCAGCAAAAUUAACUAGUAUAAAAAAAGUGCAUUUCAUAAAGUAUUAGGGGAUAUUGUGAAUGUAUUUGUUCUACCAUAUCUUUCAUUUUUAUUGGAACUUUACAUACUGAUUUUGUCAGAAGUAAUUGUAAUUUACGCUCAACAUUUUACAGUAAUAAAUAGCUUUCCUUGGUCUUUUUUUUGCUACAAAUCCAAGCUUUAUAUUUAAUGGACGUAUUGUAAGUGCCUUAAAUAUAUAAGGAGGUGUUUUUUAUGUAGCGGUCAAAUUCUCUGAUGUAAUUGAGUCAUUCCUUUUAGGGGGAGGGGGCAAUCAUUUACCAAUUAUUUAGCAAUUGCUUGGUUGAAUGUCUGGAAUAUGGUAACUUUCCAGACCAGUUGAACAGAAACAAUUUCCCUGCAAUUGCUGCAUAGAUUUAUUACAAUUAAAAUGACAAUAAAUAUUUUCAUUGCCCUGAAGGCCAAAGAUUUCCUAGCCUUUAAUCAUAGGAAAACAUCUGAAAUACUUAGGCCUCUGGUUCAACAUUACUCAUUUCUAAAACCAUAUUGGUGAUAAGUGCCAUCCUGAUUAUUGAAGUCUUACUAGGUUUAUUUUUUGGGGUGGGGGGGGGGAGCGAAAACGGUGAGAUCUAAAUUGGAAAGGAACAAAUCUACAUGGACAUUGUUGUAUCAGUGCUUAUGAAUGUCACCUGUCACUGCAGAGUAUUGGUCCAAUCCAUUCCUGAAACCACCACAGCAGGUUUGACACCAGACAACACAGUUAACCAUUUUUGUGCUGAAGAAUGGCUUUGGAGUAACUUCCCUACAACUACAGUGUAUCAUUGGUUUCAGGCUGGAGUGCUGUACUUAAUAAGAAACUGUUUUUACACAUGUGAGUAUAAAUAUUGGAUUUAAUCUUUAUACUGUGUGAGACCUGACCUCGACAAACCAAUCCUAUGUUUUUAUAAAAGACUAUCUCUGAAUUUAUGCUUGAGGUUUUGUGAAAAGUCAGUUUAUUUUGGUAAAUGGAUUACCUCUGUAUUUCCACAGAAAAUGCUGAGAAGCAUCUACAGUAUUUGCUGUAGAUUAUUUAAGGAGAGUCGGAAACGUUUAUAAGAAUUUCCGUGCACUAAGCAUUUUAACCAGUAGUGAUUUUGCUUGCAUGCAUUGAUGGAAUUUGAGGACUGAAAAUCUAAAUUGUUUUUGCUGUAAAGUAUUGCAGCUUUGAAACCAUGUGGAAAUACACAAUUGACUUCAUGGUACUUAAUGCCAGCAAAAUAAAUGAUCACAUUCCCAUGUUUUGUUUCAUCUUUAUGUAUUUAAUACUUGCUACAUUGUGCUGUCAUGGCCUUAGUUUCUACUUGGAUCAUUUAGUCAUUUGAAUGUUUUAAAUAAAAGUAUAUCUGCCUUAGAUCUAAAAGUACCUAGUUUGCUUGUUAAAUUAAGUGGCGUUUACUUCAGACCAAUGACCUUUUGCCAAAAAUCUGCUCUGGGUUACAGUAUAGCUGAAAUACAUCACGGAAGUAGAAUUUCGAUAAAUAAAAAAGGUAAUUUAAUUUAAAGUUUGCAAUAGUGUAUAUGAUUGGACAAUGUAAUACUUUCUGUUUAAAUUGAACAGGGGCUUCCUUGAUGGCCCAGUGCAUUAAUGCCAAUUUUCAUACACACCGUAUUCAAACCUUUUAUUUUCCCCUGUGUUCAUGUUUAAAUUUUGGUUGCGCUGCAGCUCACAAUGAAGAGGAGGGGUAUGAGAGUAGAAUGUAAUUAGAAGACUCAAUGAGCAUUACUGGCCUAAAUGUAUUCUACAAAUGAGAAUAUCAUC